UUCAACAGAUAAUUUUACCAAGUAAUUGUGUAGUGCUAAUAGUGUUGUUAGUUUAUUUUCAUGAUGGCCACCUUAGUGUUUGGCAAUUCUCAGAUUAGGUAUUUUUACCAACAUUUUGAAAAUGGAAAUGAAUGUGACAUACAUGUUAUUUCCAAAAGUGGAUUAACAUUUCAAAACGCUUGGAAUCAGUUGAAGAACUUGGUAACAAAUUACAAAAUUUUGGUCCUCCACUUGGGUUAUGAUGAAUUGGCUAAAAGGGAAACUGAUGAAGAAGUUCUUUCAAAGUACCAAACUCUUGUAGAAAAUAUCUGGAAAAUCAAUCCAACAAUACAUAUAGUGAUUUCAGCAAUACCACCAAGAGGUGACAAUAAAUUCAGCAACAUUCUUGUGAAAGAUUCCUAUAUUAGGUCAAUCAAUGAAGAGGCUAUGUCAGUUAAUCAGGGACUUUCUGCUGUUUCAGCACUUAUUGAUCAGCUACAUUUUACAGGGCAUGGCUAUUUCAUGACAAAUGGUUGUCUAGACAGGUCACUUUUAGGUAGGGAUGGUGUUCAUUUCAGCAUGUCAGGUGUUAAGACAGUUUUUAAAUCAAUCCUAAGUUGUGUUAGAUAUGUAUCUGGACAGUUUAUGAAAAGCAAGCAGAGUGAUAGGUAAGGCAAAGAUACUAGUGUAGGUAAAGAUGUCUGUAUCUGAUGUUGAUACCCCCAGUAGUAGUGAUAGGUCAGACAAAGAUGUAUGUACUGUAUCUGAUACCCCCAGUAGUAGUGAUAGGUCAGACAAAGAUGUAUGUACUGUAUCUGAUACCCCCAGUAGUAGUGAUAGGUCAGACAAAGAUGUAUGUACUGUAUCUGAUACCCCCAGUAGUAGUGAUAGGUCAGACAAAGAUGUAUGUACUGUAUCUGAUACCCCCAGUAGUAGUGAUAGGUCAGACAAAGAUGUAUGUACUGUAUCUGAUACCCCCAGUAGUAGUGAUAGGUCAGACAAAGAUACCAGUGUAGGUGAAGCGAAGAUUUGUGAUCGUCAACAUGGUGGUGGAGUCGAACCAUAUAUGGUGAGAAAUAAUGAGCUGCAUGUAAGUGAAAUUAUUGACAUCUUACAAAAUUGGUAAGUACUCCAGCAGUGAAACCGUCAGGUGGGGAAGCUUUUAUGAUUCAAGGGAAACAUGUUGAUGAUAGAUAUUCUUUAGUGCUUUAAAUAAUUAAUAGGUUUUCAUCUGCAGCCCGCCUUGUGCGUAUAAAUGCUCGGAUGUAAAUCAUUAAUUAGUGGUGUUUUUUAGAUAUUUAUUUAAAUGUUUACUAGUGCUUUUGUAUAAUAUGUUUUAUGUUAUUAGGGCUAGACUGCAAGAGUGCAAUUAUGGGGACUGCUCUGCGUACCUUUGGACAUUGUCCACACCCUUGUGGCUAGUUCACAUAACUUUAUAGGAUAUAUACUAUUUAAUUGUGUAAUUUAGAAAUAAAAUAAAUUAAUUCUGAGAGUCUCAUUUUUUCAUUACACUGAUUGAAACACAUAUUCACAUAUAUUUUCUUGUCACUUGAUCGGUACUCAAAAUAUUUUCUAUAAUAAAAUUAUAUGGACUCAUUGUAGAACCACGUCCUCGUCGUUGAGUCUGGAAACAUUUCAAAUGGCCAAGAGUUCUACAUCAUUCUAAUUUGUUUUUUCAAAUGAAAAUGGUGUUUCGACAUGUAAUAACACCCAUUCUUGCAUAAAACACCGAGAAAUAACACAUUAAUAAUCAAUAAACACCUUUAAAACCCAUUCAGGUCCAGAUUCAGGUCCUUUCAGGCCCAUUCAUGUCUUUAGGAGGACCCGUAUUACCACCUUCCUUUCACUCGCACCUACCUGAGGACACCCCCUAUCGCCGAAGAAAAUUUCUAAAACUGGCGACUUUUGUUUGUUUUUGUGAACAAUGAUGAAAAUAAAUUGUUUCUUCAACUUAAUCUUUGUUUAAUUAUACACCAUGUUAUACAAGUUAAUGUAUAGAAGGUUAAGAAGUAUGUGUGACUAUUUCUAAGUACUUUUAUUUACAAAUAAACUUGACAAGAUGAUCCUACAAAAGGUUUCCACAGUGUUCUGUUCGUUGCUGUUUAUUUUGUCAUUAUGUUACACAAGUUAAUGUAUAGAAGUGUGAAUAUUUAAUACAUUUACUUAUUAAACACUUCGACAAGAUGAU